UACGUAAGGGGCGAGCGUUGUCCGGAAUGACUGGGCGUAAAGGGUGCGUAGGUGGUAUCUUAAGUCAGAUGUGAAAGGCUCCUGCUCAACGGGAGAGUUGCAUUUGAAACUGGGGUACUUGAGUGCAGGAGGGGGAAGCGGAAUUCCUGGUGUAGCGGUGAAAUGCGUAGAGAUCAGGAGGAACACCGGUGGCGAAGGCGGCUUUCUGGACUGUAACUGACACUGAGGCACGAAAGCGUGGGGAGCAAACAGG
rnacentral:rRNA from 1 species